rnacentral:rRNA from 1 species
UACGUAGGGUGCAAGCGUUGUCCGGAAUUAUUGGGCGUAAAGAGCUCGUAGGCGGUCUGUCGCGUCUGCUGUGAAAUCUGAGGCUUAACCCUGAGCUUGCAGUGGGUACGGGCAGACUAGAGUGCGGUAGGGGAGACUGGAAUUCCUGGUGUAGCGGUGAAAUGCGCAGAUAUCAGGAGGAACACCGGUGGCGAAGGCGGGUCUCUGGGCCGUAACUGACGCUGAGGAGCGAAAGCAUGGGGAGCGAACAGG